UAAAUAGCUGUAACAAUAGAUUAUUGUUUUGACAGCUUCUUAGAGGGACUAUCGAUUUUCAAGUCGAUGGAAGUUUGAGGCAAUAACAGGUCUGUGAUGCCCUUAGACGUUCUGGGCCGCACGCGCGCUACACUGACGGAGCCAGCGAGUCUAACCUGUGCCGAGAGGUAUG
rnacentral:rRNA from 1 species